UCGAACGAUGAAGUUCCUUCGGGAAUGGAUUAGUGGCGAACGGGUGAGGAACACGUGAGAAGCCUGCCCCGGACUCUGGGAUAACACGAGGAAACUCGUGCUAAUACCGGAUACCUUCUUUUGGCCGCAUGGUCAGCUGAAGAAAGAUUUAUCGGUUUGGGAGGGUCUCGCGGCCUAUCAGCUAGUUGGCGGGGUAAUGGCCCACCAAGGCAUCGACGGGUAGCUGGUCUGAGAGGACGAUCAGCCACACUGGGACUGAGACACGGCCCAGACUCC
rnacentral:rRNA from 1 species